GCUGUUAAGAACAGUGGCAAGACUAUGGAGAAGAAAAUGGCAUCUCAAGAGCUCAGCAUGAAGCACCAACUCAGGGGAUACGAUAAACUGAUUUGGAAGUCUUGGUGGGAUUGAGAUAAUUGAUGAACAUGAAUAUGAACUCUUGGUGGGAUUGAGAUAAUUGAUGAACAUGAAUAUGAACUCUUGGUGGGAUUGAUGCUCUCUGUUGAUAAUUGAUGAACAUGAACAUGAACUCUUGGUGGGAUUGAUAUGCUCCCUGUUGAUAAAUAAUGAACCUGAAGUUUAUUAGUAUGAUUUGUGAUGAUAUUUGAAACAAAGAGUGUUAAAAGGAUUUCUUUGGAUA
rnacentral:lncRNA from 1 species